AAGAGCUCAGCACGCAGGGGCGA
rnacentral:miRNA from 1 species